rnacentral:rRNA from 1 species
CCUACGGGAGGCAGCAGUGGGGAAUUGUUCACAAUGGGCGCAAGCCUGAUGACGCAACGCCGCGUGGAGGAUGAAGGUCUUCGGAUUGUAAACUCCUGUUGCCCGGGACGAAAAGCUUCGACCUAACACGUCGAAGUCUGACGGUACCGGGUGAGGAAGCCCCGGCUAACUCUGUGCCAGCAGCCGCGGUAAUACAGAGGGGGCAAGCGUUGUUCGGAAUUACUGGGCGUAAAGGGCGCGUAGGUGGCCUUCUAAGUUGAACGUGAAAUCCCUGGGCUCAACCCAGGAACUGCGUCCAAGACUGGGAGGCUUGAAUCCGGGAGAGGGAUGCGGAAUUCCAGGUGUAGCGGUGAAAUGCGUAGAUAUCUGGAGGAACACCGGUGGCGAAGGCGGCAUCCUGGACCGGUAUUGACACUGAGGCGCGAAAGCCAGGGGAGCAAACGGGAUUAGAUACCCCGGUAGUCCUGGCCCUAAACGAUGAAUGCUUGGUGUGGCGGGUAUCGAUCCCUGCCGUGCCGAAGCUAACGCAUUAAGCAUUCCGCCUGGGGGAGGUACGGUCGCGAGGCGNGUAACGUACGAAGUUAAGUUAGUACGGCGUUGAGACGNGCCGACGGACGACGACGAGGGAGGAGG